rnacentral:rRNA from 1 species
UACAGAGGGCUCAAGCGUUGUUCGGAUUCAUUGGGCGUAAAGGGUGCGUAGGCGGCGCGGUAAGUCGGGUGUGAAAUCUCGGGGCUUAACUCCGAAACUGCAUUCGAUACUGCCGUGCUUGAGGACUGGAGAGGAGACUGGAAUUUACGGUGUAGCGGUGAAAUGCGUAGAUAUCGUAAGGAAGACCAGUGGCGAAGGCGGGUCUCUGGACAGUUCCUGACGCUCAGACACGAAAGCUAGGGGAGCGAACGGG